rnacentral:rRNA from 1 species
AAAGAUUAAGCCAUGCAUGUCUAAGUAUAAGCAAUUAUACAGCGAAACAGCGAAUGGCUCAUUAUAUAAGUUAUCGUUUAUUUGAUAGUACCUUACUACUUGGAUAACCGUGGUAAUUCUAGAGCUAAUACAUGCUAAAAAUCCCAACUUCGGAAGGGAUGUAUUUAUUAGAUUAAAAACCUAUGCCCUCUGGGCUCUCUGGUGAUUCAUGAUAACUUCUCGAAUCGCAUGGCCUUGUGCCGGCGAUGGUUCAUUCAAAUUUCUUCCCUAUCAACUUUCGAUGUUUGGGUAGUGGCCAAACAUGGUAG